rnacentral:lncRNA from 1 species
AUUUCUGAUAUUUAUGAAAAUAAAAUGAGGAAUAUUUUCCUAUGCAAUGAAAUUUUAUACACCAUAACUUAUAUAAACCAUAAAAUAAAAUAUAAAUAUCCAACUAGCAUUAUCCAUAUGCCAAAACAAAAUAUGAAUACAUUGUCUGAUCAACAAUUCAAAAGUCAAAAUAGAUGUGUUUGCAUCCAAAAAAUUCAAAACUAAAAUAUCAUUGAAAAUGAUAAUAGAAAGUCUAACAACUAUCAACAACAGUCAAGGUUGCUUUCAUCCGCAAUCGCUGCACCUACAAAAGACAAUCAGAAAAAAUUAAAUAGAUUUUAUUUAGAUAAUUGAAUCACAAAGUAAUUGAAUAAUCAAUUUGAUAACUCGAAAAAAAUUUCCAACUCUCCAAAUUCUUAAAAUUUUCGGCAACAAUCAAAAGAAACUCUUCGUCAUCACAAAAAAACUCUGUAACAUAGAAGAAGCCAGCAAUCAAGUAAGACCAUAAAUUAAAAACAAUGAACAACCAGCAAACUCUUCUACAUCACAUGGCAUUCAACCAACUAAUAUGGAACUUACUCUGAAGAGGCACGGUAUGCUAAAAUGUGCUCCAACAAUAUGAUGAUUGAUCUAUGGCCUUGAAAACUAGCUAGUAUGGAAGACAAAACUGCCACCCAAAGUUUGUUGCUUCAGCUGGUUGGCCUUAAAGGAUGCAUGUCUCACCCAAGACCUCACCAGAAGAAACUUUCAACUGGCCAAAGGUUUGGUUAAAUUGUUUCACUGGGCUAACCUUAAAUUGUUUGGUGUCCUACAUGAAGAUUAUGUGAUCUUGUUGUUUUUGGUGUUGCAAUUUCCACUUAUGGGCAAUUUGUGAUGAAUUUCCCAAAGAGAACUUACAAAUCCCCCUUAUUCAACAAAAAAUGAACUGACUAAAUCCCCUUUAUUCAACAAAAACGAACUGAUUUCCACCAAACUUUCAUAGCAACUCCAUACAUAUGUAAAACUAUAAGCAAAUUCACGGAACCAACCAAUUCACACUUUCUUAUAAAACCAAAAACUGCAAAAAAAUAGAAGAAAAAAUAUUCUAAGGAAGACAUGAACUCUUAAUCAAUCUUAAGAGAGUCAAUUUUGGGAUGGCAUUGUAAAAUUCCAAUUCCCACAAUAAACAAUUCUGUCAAGAAUAAGUCGGUUGACUUCCAACAUCUAAUUAAACAAAGAGCCCUCUCAUAUGCGACCCUACUCAUGUGUGAAAAUACACAAGCCAAAAGCAGUAAACAAAGUACUUCAAUACAACCAAAUCAAAUCCAAAUUUUAAAUUGCAUCAUCAUUCCAACAUUUAGACAAUAACAACAACGGCUCAAUUGUAAACUAUUUGGUUGGCUAUAUGAAUUCUCCAUGUCCCUUCCACUCCAUUUGGACUUCACAUUACUCGCAACUGCUUACAAGUAGAACUUGAGAAGUAUAUAGUAAACAUAGUAGAACUUGAGAAGUAUCUUAUUUAAUCCUUAUUUUAUUUCCUCAGGGCACUUCUACACUAGGACAAUUUUGAAAGAUAUCAAAUUUUAUAUAUAACAUACAUUAGCUUAGUGAUGGAAUGGGAAAUAGAAGCAAUACAUGGUAUGUUGCUUAAGAAUAGAUUACAAAUAGUAAAAGAAAUGAUAAAAUUAGAAAUAGUAUUCCAGAAAAGGUUCUACUAGAGUUUGGACAAUAAUCUAAAGAAUGUUUUGACAAGAAGCUAUUUUUUAGCUUAUGAAACUGAGCAUUUGCAAUGCAUUCAAGAAUCACUACAUCAAGGGCAUCUAUUAUGGUCAUUAUAGUGAAUAGCAAACAGAUUGUUACCCAAUAAUCCAAACUUUUGCAAAUUCAUAGUGUCGAAUAUGAUAUAUAGUAAAAGCAAGAGAAAAUGUUACAGUAAAAAGAAAAUAGACAUCCAAAACAAUGACAAAAAUACAGUAGUUAUAGAACAAAACACUAUAAUCCAAUUUUGCUCCUCUUAUUGAGAAGGGGAUAUACUUAAGACAACUAAUCUUAUGUUCUGUUGGGAUUACAAAUAUUGGAACUCCACCCUUCCUCCACUCUUCCAACUCCCGAGCAACAAAUCCAAAAAUGUAUUGAAAAAAUCAAGAAACACUUUGCAAAAAUAAAUAUCAAUUUGUCUGCUACCUGCCUUUUAAUCUAUCCAAAAGACAUCAAAGAUAAAACAUUGUAUCACUUUUUAUAUACUAAACAUUAUUUAGCAAGUAUAAAAAACUGUUGUGUAUAUAUCAUGGAGUAUAUGCAAUAAUGACGACAAAAAAAAAAAACAGCAGUGAAGCAGAAACAGAAAAGGGGAAAAACAGCAACGGCUAAAAAGAACUGGAGGAAACAUCUCUAGGAAGAAAAGGACAUACCUGGAGUUUUUCAGAGUUCCAAUAUUUAAAAAGUUCCUUAAACUGAGAAGCUGGUAUAUCUUCAGGAAAAUAAACUAAUAUCAUAAUCCACCAACUAAACUUUCAAUUUUACAAACUUGGGGUCACAAAAUAUAUCAUACUAUACUAAAACAUCCGAAUGAAUGAAACUUAAAUGAACAGAACAAAUUUAUUUCUUGUUUUCUUUUCAAUAGGAAGGCAAGAUUAGCUGCAAGAAUAUUUUUCUCCUGAAUGGUUAUUCCAAGAAUGACAGUAAUAUCUUGGUCAAGAAUUAUUAAUGCUUCUCCGAAAACUAACUUAACUCUCAGCCACUCAUUUUAGCCUUUGUGGCUGAAUAUGUCAACUUUUGUGUAUUAUUUCCAUAAACCAGGAUAAACUACUUGUGCCUCUAUCUCUUGCUUUCUCAUUUUAUACGCGCGCAACUUCUUUUGUGUCAGGUUUUCAAUAAGAAACUUAGGCAAGGAGAGAAGUAUUGAGCAUGGAAAAUAUUCUCAAUGGCCAUGAACCAGCGUCAAGAGAGAUCAUAUUUACCAAACGCGAUCACCUUUGUGAAAAUUACUAUGCUGGACAUGCUCCGAGGGGUUAUCAACAAGAAUUUGAAACAUACAGAAUGGACGUAUGCGGAACCUCAAAUGAUCUGGGUUAAAGUUUUUCUAAACAAUACUACAAAUGCCAAAAAGUCUAUCACUAGACACAAAUAUAUUUUAACAACAUUGAGAUAAAUUUGUGAUUUUUCAGCAAUAUUACCGGAGAAAAAAAAAAGAAGCAUCGAAGUGACUUUUCAGAAUAACGAACAAGCAAGCGAACAUCGAACAUCAAAUAGAUAUCACAAUGGGUUAAUCAUGGUUUUCUAAUACGAAAUCAAAUCCACCAGCUAAAUCCCCAAAUUUGAAAACUAGAAAUCACAAAAUGAAUACAACGAGCAUCGAACAUCGAUAGCAAACAUCAAUCAAGUGAAAUCGUUCUAACACGAAAUAAAAAUCCACCAACUAAACCAAUAAUUUUAAAAAUUGGAAAUCACAAAAAUUAUUAUAUAAUACAGACAAAGAACAUAAGCAAAAUAAUGGGUGCAUGAGAAAUAUUACCAGAGAAAGAAAAUCGGUGAAGUAGCCAAACAAAUUUUCAGCAAAACAUCGAAAUUCCAUACAAACACCGAACAGGGAGAAAACACUGACAGCCAACAUCGGAUUUCGCCUUACAUUAGCCGAAGUGGACGUCCUUCGCCGGAAUCGGUCUUCCUUCGCCUGAACAGGACAUAGAUUUUGGUCGAUUUUGGAUUCUAGGUUAAACCUUAAGAGGCGUGGGUUCUUAGUGAGAGACGGAAGAUUUCAUAUGAUGUGUGUCUUCUAAUGUAAAAGGUAAAUAUUUAAUAAAAAACAGCUAUUAAAAUGC